GAGAGUCACCAUGAUGGAGGCACACAGGGCAGAGGCAGGAUGGAAGCGGGAGGGAGGCUUGGGAGGGGCUUGGAGCAGAAGUGACAUUUGGAGACUCUCAGCCUGUUUUAUGUUUCUGUGUCCCUCCCGCUGGAAUCAUUGGAAUCACAAACGUGCAUGUGCGAUUUCAGCAUUCUCUGUUCUGUUUGCGAUUUCAGCAUCCUCUGUUCUGUUUGCACCCACGGCAGAAUUGUUGGGUGCCUGGAAUGAAACGCAUGGCAGAGGGGAGCCAGGUGCCUUUUUGACUGUUCC
rnacentral:lncRNA from 1 species